GACGUAGGGCGCGAGCGUUGUCCGGAUUUAUUGGGCGUAAAGGGCUCGUAGGCGGUUUGUCGCGUCGGGAGUGAAAACCCAGGGCUUAACCCUGGGCUGGCUUCCGAUACGGGCAGACUAGAGGUAUGCAGGGGAGAACGGAAUUCCUGGUGUAGGCGGUGAAAUCGCGCAGAUAUCAGGAGGAACACCGGUGGCGAAGGCGGUUCGUCUGG
rnacentral:rRNA from 1 species